rnacentral:rRNA from 1 species
ACAUGCCUGCAACGUAGUGUUAAUGCACAAUAUCCCAUUAGAACUCCACAGUUAAGUGCACUUGUGCUAGAGUAGUAUAGGGAUGGGUGACCACUCGGGAAGUCCUAGUGUUUUACAUGCC